UGGUUUUUCGAGACAUGGUUUCUCUGUAUAGCCUUGGAUGUCCUGGAACUCACUUUGUAGACCAGGUUGGCCUUGAACUCAGAAAUCUGCCUGCCUCUGCCUCCCAAGUGCUGGAAUUAAAGGCGUGCGCCACCACGCCUGGCUUUCAAAUAAAUUUAUAAUGAAAUUAUUAUAAUGUAAUACUAUAAUGAAAAAUUUUAAAAUACUUUUGAUAAUGUUUUUGAUUAAGGUGUGUGUAUGCAAACUCAGAAAUUUGAGUAAUACUUGUUAGACUUCCUAAUUAUAAAAUGUCUAAUAAAACCUGUAAGCCAAUCUAAUAUAUAGAAUUUUGUAGAUUCUUUAUAAUCACAGAAAAGGAACAGUUUACAGAUUAUAUUGUGGUGCAAUAUAAUAAUAUUGUAAGUAUUACUCAAAUGAUGUACUGAAGGAUUUAAUUUAUGCCUUGUGUAUCUCUGUCUCCUUUCAGUAGCUGUGAUAGAAGCCAUUGGUCACAUACACUGAAAUAAUUUUUCUAUAAAUAUUUUAUCUAGAGGAAAAAAUUCUGCCUGUAGGUUUGUUUUGUAAUUCUUAGUAUAUGUUAAAUGGUGCUUUUUAAUGUUUGGUUUUAGCCUAUUGUUUUCUUACCCUGUACUCUAUAGUACAUUCUCCAGUCUUAAUGACUGCAUUCCUAUUUCGAUUAGUGUUUUUUUUUUAAGAUUAAUUUAUUUAUUUUAUAUGAGUACACUGUAGCUGUCUUCAGACACUCCAGAAGAGGACAUCAGAUCCCAUUGCACCUGGUUGUCAGCCAUCAUGUGGUUGCUGGGAUUUGAACUCAGGACCUUCAGAAGAGCAGUCGGUGCUCUUAAGAGCCAUCUUACCAGCCCUUGAUUAGUUUUUAGUAUGGAAGUUUGCAUGAGGUUUCAUUUGAAAGUUGGAUUGUGCUUUCUAGAAAUGAUAACCACUGUAGUUCUGAAGUUUGAUCUUACCACUCUACUGUUAACGCAUCAUGAUAAUGUGGCUUUAUUUAUUGUUGUUGCUUGCACUGCUAAUAAGACUUUUCUUUAUCCAGCUCCUGAUUCAUUUUUCAUCUCUUAAUUACUUUCAUUACCUUUCCAUGUAAACUCUGAAUUCUAGUCCUGUAUAAAUUGUUUUCUGCUCUCUGACUGGAAAAAGGUACUUCUGCCUUUGCACAUCAAAUCACCACCAUCCAGUUAGCCAGACUAUUUGAUCCUUUAGAACUUUGGUGAUAUCUCCAGAAAAAUACUUGAUACAUUAUUUUAUAACUAUGACCUGGGAAGAGCAGAAACCAUCCAGUUUACCUUGUUUCUAUAUUGCAUGGUGUUCAUUCAGUAUUCAUAUAGCUACUGAGUGAUUGUAUUCAGAAUUUGAGAGAUAGCAGAACUGCUUUAAUGUAUACUCGUGUGAAUAAAACAUCCAUUCUGUGGAAAGGAACUAGCAAGUGUCAGGCAUUAUGCUAAACAUAAAAAAUGGUACUUAGGAGUACUUACAAAGAAUAAUAAAGCUUAGAGAUUCAUUGUUGGGAAACAAUAGAUUAGAUACUAGAGGUUUCUGAGAUGUCCUAGAGUUAGUCAUCUUAUCCUAAAAUUUGAUUGUGAAAGCACUUUAAUAAUUCUAUACCAUUUUGGCUGCCUGUGAAAUAGUUUUUCAUAAGUGAUUAAAGUUAACAGACUCAAAAGGGAAUUCAAGUGUCAAAGUAUAUAAUAUCCACACUCAUAAAGGUUAAAAAUGGGCCUGAAGCUAUCCAUCUAAAUUCGUUUCCCCCUGCCUGUUAUUAGCUAUGUGAUAUGGCAAACUAUUUGAUCAUUCUCUGCUUCCCUUUCCUCACUUGUAAAAUGAAGAUGAGUAUUACUUGUGAAGAAUAUGUAUGAAUUAAUACAUGUUAAGCACUUAGAAGAAUAUGUGAUAUCAUGAAUACUCCAUACAAGAUAUCAUUUUAAAGAAGUACCCAGUCUCAGAUUUUACUUUCCUCAGUCGGUUUUUCACAAUCAGUUGCAGUCUGAAAAUAUUAAACUGAUAAUUUCAGAAAUAGUGCAUAGGUUUUCAUGCCAUUCUGUAGCAUGAUAAAAUCUUACACUGUCCCAAGAAGGUGUGACUCAUUCUUUUAUCCAGGCAAUGUAUCUGUGCUGUAUCUGCUACCUACUACAGUGCAGGCUGUCUCAUCACCUAUCUAGUAUUGCAGUGUGUUUAGCCAGGCACUAUUACUUUCUCCAUAUUGUGUAGUCAUUGUGUGAUUUCCUAUCACAUGCUAAGAAAAGUACAGUACAAGAAGAUUUAUGUGAGACUACCUUAACAAAUAUUUUAUUACAGAAUGUCACUAUAAGUAUCUUACUAGUUUUUAUCCUUAAUCUUUGCUGUCCCUAAUCUGUAAAUUAAACAUUAUCGCUGGGCGUGGUGGCGCACACCUUUAAUCCCAGCACUUGGGAGGCAGAGGCAGGUGGAUUUCUGAGUUCGAGGCCAGCCUGGUCUACAAAGUGAGUUCCAGGACAGCCAGGGCUACAGAGAAACCCUGUCUCGAAAAACAAAAACAAAAACAAAAACAAAAAACAUUAUCAUCAGUAUGUAUGCAUAGAGGAUAGCAUAGUAUAUGUAAGAUUCAGUAUUUUUUAAUGCAGGUAUCCAUCCACUCAGAGUCUUGGGACAUACUCUCUGAAAAUAAGUUAUAUGUGUGAAGGCUCGUUACCCUGUCUUUAAACAGACCCUUGUUUUGGCAUAUCCACAGCAUAGCUCUUUACUGACUCAUUUCUCUUCUCUUUAGUGGACUAGAGACUAUUCCUGUUAGAUGGAUUGGCGUGGGAGAUUUGAAACUAUGUUGUCUUCUCUAUCCUGACCUAUAUGAUUCUUCAUUGAACCCACAGAGAAGGUGGGAAAAAGGAGUGAGCCUAGGAAUAUGGUGACAAGUUAUUUUGUUAAUUAAUGUUUUUCUUAUAUUUUGAUCAUAUUUCCUCCUGUUUCCCCAUUCCUCUCAGAUCUUACCACCUCCCUACCUACCUAAGUUCAUGUUCUUUUUCUUAUUGUCAAAGCAAAAGAAAAAAAAUUAAAACAGAUAAGCUGGAAGAAAGUUAAUAAUAAAGAAUAACAAAAUAAAAGUGCACACAAAACAAAACCAUGGAGUCAUUUUGCUUUGGUCAACUACUGCUGGACAGUCUAUCACUUGAAUGUGAUUGACAUACACAGUGAUACUCCUUGGGGAAAACUGAUUUUCUCUUUCCCGACAGGUGCCAAUUACAUUGUGUUCACUUCCCCUUCUCAGUUCUGGGAUUUUGCACUGACAAGUUCUUUAACAAGCCUGAGUGUGUACAACCUAAGUCCUAAACUUAGUACUUAAUAGAGGGAAACUAAUAGAAGAAACAAAAGCAAAAUGUUUCGGUGUUGUUUUGUAAGCAAAGCCAAGGCGGGUAUUGUUCCUCUUCUUACCCACUUAGUUCAUUUCCAUGGCCCACAUUCCUAACCUAGUUCAGCUAAGGAUAGGGAGGAAGAUAUUAGAAUCUUUCUCAGCAUAGAGUUACUGCCAGCAAAACUUGUGUCUAAAUUAAGACAGUUUGGUUAAUGAGAAACUUCAAUUCUAAUAGUACUAUCACUUAGGACUGUCUGGGAAAACUGAGAUGUAUGGUCAAUCUACUUUUUAGAUUGUUAUUUAUUAUUAAUUUUGAAAUUCUGGAUUUGUGGAGAAGAAAGAAAACAUAUACAUCUGGUAGAAAAAUGUGUCCAUGUGGAGUAACAUAGAAAAGUUUGUAUUGAAUCUUUUCUAAUUAGAUAAUUCAAGAGACAUUACUAUCUUCCCUUAUUAACUAGUAUUGUUUACUUUAUUGUUUGUCUUUUCCCCCCAAGAUGUCACAGUUGUCAUUCAGCUCCGCAGUUGUGAAAGUCGGUAGCGGAAGCAAUGACUGACCAUUUGCUCUGUUCCUUUGUAGCUUGCUGUCAGAAAGUCUGUGUCUGUAAACAUCCCC
rnacentral:lncRNA from 1 species